AACCUUUAAAAAGAAUGGUUAGUAAGCAUUGUUCAAGUUAUGUGUAAGCGUGAGGGUGGAGCUGACGUAACUUCCGGUGUACGCUCUCUUUCGCGGGAUUUCAAUGCGAUGAGAGGCACUUCUAGAACAGACGUAAUCCUGUUACUGCCUGAUGGUGUCUGUUAUGUGUAAUGCAGAUGAGAGAUCCUGAGAAGCCACAAGUAAACCAUUU